AAACUAUACAUACCCUAUAUACCUAGUUGUGUAUAUGAAUAUGAUAUAAAAAACAUCAUCAGAUUUUUCUUUUUCAUUCGAUUUUUUUUUAGGAAAGUUUCUGGCCAACUUUGUAAAUUUCCAGGUUUGGGCUGUGUCGUAUUCUGCAUUUUCAAUUCAAUGAAGAACAGGGAAUCAAUGUAAUAGGAGGUUUCGAUCCGGCUCGUAUUGAUACCUAGUUUUUUGGAAACAUGUUGGGGAAUUGUGUUGCUUCUGCUCAACUUUGAGAGUUUUCUUCUUCCUAUAGCCUCCUCCUUCAAAACUUGUUUAAAAUGUCAGGUGAUAUGUUAGGCCUAGAAGGACUAGAGGCAUAUGAUGAAACCAAGGACAAGAGGUCAGAUUUUGAAAACUCUGAAGAUGAAAGACGGCGAUCCAAAAUUGGGGCUUUGAAGAAGAAGGCAAUAAACGCUUCAAACAAGUUCACUCAUUCUCUUAAGAAAAGGGGGAAAAGGAAAAUCGACCACAGGGUUUCUUCAGUUUCCAUCGAGGAUGUGCGCAGUUCAAGAGAGGAGAGUUCUGUGUAUGAUCUGCGUCAAAAACUCCUUCACAAGGAUUUGUUGCCAGUUAGCCAUGAUGACUAUCAUACUUUGUUGAGGAACCAGCAGUUGAGUCUUGAGCUAUUGAUUUGUUUUAGGUUUUUGAAAGCAAGAGAGUUUAACAUUGAGAAGACCAUCCAGAUGUGGGAAGAAAUGCUUAACUGGAGGAGAGAGUAUGGAGCAGAUACCAUAUUGGAGGACUUUGAAUUUGAGGAGCUGGAUGAAGUGUUGCAAUAUUAUCCCCAAGGAUAUCAUGGAGUUGAUCGGGAAGGCAGACCUGUUUAUAUUGAAAGGCUUGGGAAAGUUCACCCCAGUAAACUAAUGCGCAUUACCACAAUUGAACGAUAUUUAAAAUAUCAUGUCCAGGAGUUUGAAAGAACCCUUCAAGAGAAGUUCCCUGCCUGUUCCAUUGCUGCAAAAAGACAUAUAUGUUCAACAAUCACAAUAUUGGAUGUCCAAGGACUGGGGAUAAAGAAUUUCACGACAACUGCUGCGAGUCUAUUGUCAGCCAUGGCCAAAAUUGAUAAUUACUACUAUCCUGAGACACUCCACCAUAUGUACAUUGUCAAUGCUGGCCCUGGCUUCAAGAAGGUGCUUUGGCCUGCAGCACAAAAGUUUUUGGAUCCAAAAACUACUGCAAAGAUACAUGUGAAGGAUAUGAACUGGCGUUUAAUUUUUUCCUUUCUUUUCUGUUUCUUCCGUAUUGCAGCUUCAACUGUUCUCGCAAUCUAUUUACAGGUUUUGGACGCUAAAUCUUUGGGGAAACUACUUGAAGUCAUUGACCCAAGUCAACUGCCAGACUUUUUGGGUGGAUCAUGCUCUUGCUCUCUCGAGGGAGGUUGCCUUAGGUCUACUAAGGGUCCCUGGGCUGAUCCUGAAAUUAUGAAGCUUGUGCAUAAUGCAGAAUCCACGCUUGUUAGGCAGAUCACCCGAAUAAUCAGUGACCAGCAGAAAGUUAACUCUUAUAUUCAGAUACGCCCAUUGAAGGGGAGAGGCAGCGAUAAAUCAACUGUUGAAUUAGGAUCAGACAUCGAAGAUUCUUGCACUCCAACAAGACGAAAUAGAUCUGUGACUUCACGACUGGCCAUUGUUCAUGAAGACGCAAAAGCAUUGGAUCCAUGUAUCUACUAUGAUUGUGAGGAUCAUCUUUGGCCAGUUGAUGAUGAUAGUGACUGCAAGCAAGGAACUGCCAACCUUCUGGACCAGUCUUUUGAAUUUGACAAUGCAAGAUAUUUGAAAGCUGAUGGGAGAACAAAUCUAGAAGUCUGGUAUUUUAUUGGCUGCACAUCAUCCAGGAGAAGGUUGUUAAGAAAAGUUUCCUGUAUAUGGCGAGAGCAUUAGUGUCUUUCACGACCAAGCUUUUUGCAUUGAGCCCAAAUGUUCCCUUUGCAUAUUGGAGAAGACAUGCCGACAUUUAUCCAUCUAAUGCAGUGGAAGAUGGAACUGAACACUGCAGGCUCUCAACUGUUGAUGCUGAAGCUGUAAGUGAAGAAGACAGGGUACUUCCAUGCGUACAGCGACUCCAGAGGUUGGAAAGUUUGUUAGAAGAACUCGAACAAAAGCCUGCUGAAAUUCCGUUAGAAAAGGAGCAAAUGCUACUGCAAUCUUUGAACAGGAUUAAAACUGUAGAACUUGACCUCGAAAAAACGAAGACGGUAUUAAAUACUGCAGCUACAAAGCAGCUUGAGAUCGCAGAGUUUUUAGAGAAUAUGCAGGAAUCCAGAUUUCGCCAACGAAAGUUAUGCUGUUAACUUGUCGAUUGUAGAGAGUAGGGAGAUCCUGCAACCACUCAAUGCAUAAUAUGCCCUUUCGGGAGUCUUUAGCCAAUCGUCAUGGAAGAAGUGUGUGCAGAUCAGCAUUUUGUUUCCUCCCUCAGUUUUCCUUUCAUUCCACAAUCCAUGACAAAUCUGCCACGCAGCUUAGCAAAAUGUUUAUCUCAAAGUCUGAGAUGGUGUAGAACAGAGAGAGCUUCAGUGUGGAUUUUAGUCUUCUUCCUAGUGGAACUAUUUGCGGCAUUUUUCUUGCUAAUUGUCUAAUACUCUGUGUAGUUAAUGCAUAGAGAUAGUCAGAUGUAAAUGGAUACUGAAAUGAAUUUAGGAAGUCUCUUUCCUUUAAAUUGAGACUGACACUUGAUAAUAAACUGAUCUAUUGACUAAAGUGAGCUCAACCACAGUCGAAAA